AUGGGGGGGAGGAGCCAAGAUGGCCGAAUAGGAACAGCUCCUGUCUACAGCUCCCAGCUUGAGCCACGCAGAAGAUGGGUGAUUUCUGCAUUUCCAUCUGAGGUACCAGGCUACACCCUGCAAGGUCAUUAUCAUUAGCUGCACUUUACAGGAGAGGAAGCUGAGGCUCAGAGAAGCAAACUGCCCUCCUACUUAUGUUGAAGACUUUCCCAUCCUAUGAGCCCAGGUGGGAGAAGCUGAAAAUGGCAGAAGGUCACUUUUCCAGCUGCCCUGUGCCUGGUGAGCCUGUGACACAGACCCCGUUGCUCACAUAUCCACCCAGUUUGGUGCCAUAGGUGGUAGGUGGUUAUUGAGCAAAAUCUGGAUCUCCCAGCUGCUUGAUUUGCUUCUUUUUCAGACUCAAGGCACAGAAACAGUGCUAUUUCUUUUCUCUCCAGCACUUCAGGGCCAAGGAGUUUGAAGAAGUCCAAGGUAGAGCUUUCUGGAAAAUCCUCUGGAGAGGUUGAUCAGAAACCUUCUCCCACAUAAACAAAGGACCCAGGAAGAAGCUAAAAAUGGGCCAUGAGAUUGUCUUUAUUCAUCAAGCCUGAAGUUUUCUGACUCUAUCUUUCUUUUCCCGUGGCCACUGUUACCUCUCCAGAACAGACCCCAUCACCUGAAUUCUGCCUGAGCCUCGACAGAUAUGCUCAGCUGCUCUCCCAUGCUGGCUGUUGUUACCCCAACCCACUUAAAAUUCCUUGAGGUCUUAGAAGCUCUCUCCCACCAAGGUGCCGAAAGAAGUAUUUCACAGGUUCUCAGUGACAAUUGUUUAUUGAAAUUUACACUGAUGAGAAGUGGUCCCUAUUAAGGGAAUUCAAUCCAAGGAGAUUGGCUCUAUACUUUGAACCGCUGUGGCCAAAUAAAUAGAUGACUGCUUGCUGCAAUUAUAUUGCUGUGGUCUUUGUAUAAAUAGAUUACCAAGAAUAGGACUCCACACAUCUAUCACCUUGGAAAGCUGAUUUGUAUAAUCUGGACAGGUGGCAAGGAAACGUAACUGUCUGCUCAAGGGAGAGCCUGCCUGGGGCAGAGGAAGAGAGUCUGAGUAGCAUCCCAGUUAAGUGCUCAAGCCCUGAGGUCAGGCUGCCUGCAUUUGAAUCCUGAUUCUGCCACCAAUUUUCUAAGUGGCAUGGCAAUGUUCUUAAACUUCCCUUUGUGUCAUAGUAAGCAACCGAAAAAUGGUGCUGAGGAUAGAGAACUCCAAAAAUAGAAAUUAUUGCUAGAAGGUUCCCUUGCAGUGGAUAUCGGGGAUUCAAUCUGUUAGUAUCCAGAAACUAGUUUUUCUGUUACUUUUGUGAAACCACUCAAGAUCUCUGUUUAACAAGCCUCCCAAAGAUCUUUUUUCAAUAUGUUUAUAUGUCUUGGGGAUUACAGCACUUGUGGGUUUCAGCAGAACUCUUUUUGCAGAGGUCUGGUGGUGUAGGAAAAGGGCUGUAGACUAGGAUCUGGGAGACAGACAUGUCUAUGUUGAGACCUGCCUCUGGAGCACUGGCCACCCUCUCCAAGCUGCUGCAGUUCUCUGAGAUCCAACUGUCUCCCCUGUUACAUAAUCACCACAGUUAAAAUAUCAAAGUUUAUAUCAACCCCAAAAGUUACCUCCUGCUUCUUUGUAAUCUUUGCCUCCAUCCACCCUUAUUCCUAGGCAACCACUGAUCUGUUUUAUGUCAAUACAGAUCAUUUUGCAUUCUCUCUAAUUUCAUAUACAUUGCAUCAUACUUUAUGCACUCUUUUAUCUGGAUACUUUCACUUAACAUAAUUAUUUUCACAUGCAUUCAUGUUGUUGUGUGCAACAACAGUUUAUUAGUUUUCAUUGCUGAAUAGUAUUCCAUUGUGUGGAUAUACCACAUUUGUUUAGCCACUCAUCUGUGAAUAGACAUUCGGGUUGUUUCCAGUUACUUGGUUAUUUCAAAUAAAGCUGCUUUGAACAUUUAUAUAUAA
ensembl:lncRNA novel transcript, antisense to EPHB1